rnacentral:tRNA from 1 species
GGAGGGGUGGCCGAGCGGUUGAAGGCGCCGGUCUUGAAAACCGGAAGCGGCUCACCGUCGCUCGUGGGUUCGAAUCCCACCCCCUCCGCCA